UCUUUCUCUUUGAUUCCCAGUUUUCAGAGUAAGAAGUUAGUGUAAUAGUCAUCAAUAAUACUGAGAUUUGAAAGAGCCAACUAAUAGAAAUUCAUUUGGUAGAAUGCCAGUCCAGAAAGAGACAUCCAGCACCAAUUAGUUUCUUUAGUUCAAUAUAUUGGAAGAGUAAAUUAAAGAAUCAAGGUAACAACUUUUUUAACCUCAGAAUUUGCUGUUGUCAUAUUUCUUAAUAGUACCUGGCCAUAAUUAUAAGUCCUAAAGCUCAUGCCAGGAAUAAUAAUACCAAAGUAGCCUUUGUAGAAGAAAUAUCGAAAUUCCUAUUAUUUCAAGAAGCUUGCACAUUUACUACCAUUAACAGAAAUCUUGUCUUGUUCUGUUGGCAGUCUCAGUUCUUAUAAACGAAUCCAAGAGGCAGCUGAUACCACAAUAAUAGAAAAAUUUUGGACGAGAGCCAUCUCCUUUCUUUGAGUCAAAAGGCAGAUGCCAGCUAGGAACAUUAGCUCAUUGCAUUUUCCUCUCCCCUCUCCCCCGCGUCCUUCCAUGUAUAAUUUGUGCCCUUUUUUUUUUUUUUUUUUUUUUUAAAUAGCCUGCCACCAAGUUCAGCGGGUGGCUGGGUACAAAGCUGUGUC